AGCCAUGCAAGUCGAAUGGUUCUUGCAACCAUGGCGAAUUGNUCAGUAACACGUAGAUAACNUACCNUAAGGUUGGGUAUACUCCCGGGAAACUGGGUAUAAUCCCCAAUAGAUAAGCUGUACUGGAAUGUCUUUUUAUUUAAACNUCCGGGGCCUUAGGAUGGGUCUGCGACGGAUUAUGGUAGUAGGUGGGGUAACGGCCCACCUAGCCGGUGAUCCGUACCGGACAUGAGAGUGUGUGCCGGGAGAUGGCCACUGAGACAACGGGCCAGGCCCUACGGGGCGCAGCAGGCGCGAAAACUUCACAAUGCGCGAAAGCGCGAUGAGGGAAUCCCGAGUGCUCGCUUAGCCGCGAGCUUUUGCCGAGUCUAGUGAGCUCGGCGAAUAAGGGGAGGGCAAGGCUGGUGCCAGCCGCCGCGGUAAAACCAGCUCCCCGAGUGGUCAGGAUGAUUAUUGGGCCUAAAGCGUCCGUAGCCGGGCGCGCAAGUCGCUGGCGAAAGGUCGGGUCUUAAGCCCGGACUUGCUAGCGAUACUACGCGCCUUGGGACCGGAAGAGGCAAAUGGUACGUUAGGGGUAGGGGUGAAAUCCUGUAAUCCUUAACGGACCACCGGUGGCGAAGGCGAUUUGCUGGGACGGAUCCGACGGUGAGGGACGAAACCCAGGGGAGCGAGCGGGAUUAGAUACCCCGGUAGUCCUGGGCGUAAACGAUGCGCGCUAGGUGUUGGCGAAGCUACGAGCUCCGCCGGUGCCGAAGCGAAGGCGUUAAGCGCGCCGCCUGGGGAGUACGGUCGCAAGGCUGAAACUUAA
rnacentral:rRNA from 1 species